rnacentral:rRNA from 1 species
GACGAACGCUGGCGGCGCGCUUAACACAUGCAAGUCGAACGGGCCCGCUCUCUUUUUUGGGGGUGGGUUGAGUGGCGAACGGGUGAGUAUCACGUGAGUAACCUGCCCCCUGCUCCUGGAUAACUGCUUGAAAGGGCGGCUAAUACGGGGUGUGCCGGCUGGUCCGCAUGGGCCUGGUCGGGAUAGUUUCAUCUUCGGGUGUUUCGGUGGGGGAUGGGCUCGCGGCCUAUCAGCUUGUUGGUGGGGUGAUGGCCCACCAAGGCGGUGACGGGUAGCCGGCCUGAGAGGGUGGGCGGCCACACUGGGACUGAGACACGGCCCAGACUCCUGCGGGAGGCAGCAGUGGGGGGUAUUGCACAAUGGGCGGAAGCCUGAUGCAGCGACGUCGCGUGAGGGAUGGAGGCCUUCGGGUUGUGAACCUCUUUCUCCGGUGGUGAAGGCCCUGUCCGUUGCGGCGGGGUUGACGGUAGCCGGGUAUGAAGCGCCGGCUAACUACGUG